rnacentral:rRNA from 1 species
UACGUAGGGACCAAGCGUUGUUCGGAUUUACUGGGCGUAAAGGGCGCGUAGGCGGCAAAUUAAGUCAGCUGUGAAAUCUCCGAGCUUAACUCGGAACUGUCAGCUGAUACUGAUGUGCUAGAGUGCGGAAGGGGCAAUCGGAAUUCUUGGUGUAGCGGUGAAAUGCGUAGAUAUCAAGAGGAACACCUGAGGUGAAGAGGGGUUGCUGGGCCGACACUGGCGCUGAGUGCGCGAAAGCCAGGGGAGCAAACGGG